rnacentral:rRNA from 1 species
GACGAACGCUGGCGGCGUGCUUAACACAUGCAAGUCGAACGGUAAAGCUUGGUGCUUGCGCUGGGCGGAUGUGUGGCGAACGGGUGAGUAAUAUGUGUGUCACGUGCCUUAGACUCUGGGAUAUGCCUGGGAAACUGGGUAUAAUCCUGGAUACGCCACGCCACCGUAGGGUGGGGUGUGGAAAGGGGUUUGGUGGUUUUGGAUGGGCUCACGGCCUAUCAGCUUGUUGGUGGGGUACUGGCCUACCAAGGCGACGACGGGUAGCCGGCCUGAGAGGGUGACCGGCCACACUGGGACUGAGACACGGCCCAGACUCCUACGGGAGGCAGCAGUGGGGAAUAUUGCACAAUGGGCGGAAGCCUGAUGCAGCGACGCCGCGUGAGGGAUGACGGCCUUCGGGUUGUAAACCUCUUUCAGCACGGAAGAAGCGAGAGUGACGGUACGUGCAGAAGAAGCGCCGGCUAACUACGUG